UACGUAGGGUGCGAGCGUUGUCCGGAAUUAUUGGGCGGUAAAGGGCUCGUAGGCGGUUUGUCGCGUCUGCCGUGAAAGUCCGGGGCUCAACUCCGGAUCUGCGGUGGGUACGGGCAGACUAGAGUGAUGUAGGGGAGACUGGAAUUCCUGGUGUAGCGGUGAAAAUGCGCAGAUAUCAGGAGGAACACCGAUGGCGAAGGCAGGUCUCUGGGCAUUAACUGACGCUGAGGAGCGAAAGCAUGGGGAGCGAACAGG
rnacentral:rRNA from 1 species